rnacentral:rRNA from 1 species
GUUGAACGCUGGCGGCAGGCCUAACACAUGCAAGUCGAGCGGAUGAAGGGAGCUUGCUCCUGGAUUCAGCGGCGGACGGGUGAGUAAUGCCUAGGAAUCUGCCUGGUCGUGGGGGAUAACGUCCGGAAACGGGCGCUAAUACCGCAUACGUCCUGAGGGAGAAAGUGGGGGAUCUUCGGACCUCACGCUAUCAGAUGAGCCUAGGUCGGAUUAGCUAGUUGGUGGGGUAAAGGCCUACCAGGGCGACGAUCCGUAACUGGUCUGAGUGGAUGAUCAGUCACACUGGAACGGAGACACGGUCCAGACCCCUACGGGAGGCAGCAGUGGGGAAUAUUGGACAAUGGGCGAAAGCCUGAUCCAGCCAGGCCGCGGGUGUGAAGAAGGUCUUCGGAUGGUAAAGCACUUUAAGUUGGGAGGAAGGGCAGGAAGGUAAUACCUUGCUGUUUGGACGUUACCAACAGAAUAAGCACCGGCUAACUUCGU